GACAUUUACAUAACAUAACCAGCUCCAUAUGUAUGGCUUUUUGAUUAAGUAAACUUGCUCACUAGCUCACCUGGUGCAGUGUAGCAUUUUCAAUAUGGAGAACUCGGGUACGAGUCCUGUGAAAUAUGAGUCACAAAAAAAGCACAAAGACUUGCAGAAACAGGCUAAAAUGGCAUGGCUGCUUCAGAAAAUGUGUUGUAUCGCUAUGAGUUAGGGUUUUGCAUUGGUGGUACGUUAUUUUCAAAUGCGAUAGAGCAUUAUUAUUUUAGCACCACUCAGCAGACAUUUUAUUUUGUAACUGCUACGAUAUGUAUAUCACGUAAUGUACUAAAGCAUAAAACUGAAUUUUAAUGUCACCCACUGGACAUUUAGCUUUGGUAGUGUAUUAAAACGUGCAAGAUGUAACCUCAUUUCGCAGAAAUGUCAAAAUAAGCAUGUAUUUCCAAUGAAUCUGGGUUGUAGUUAAACAUUAAAUAAACUUAAGUUCUGCAGUCAUACUCAUCAUUAGUCUGUGACCAUCCCUAGAUUAAAAAGGAAGUGGCGGGGAAGACUCGAAUAAAAGGGAGAGGGAGAGGGACUACACCAAAAAUAUUAGAGCGUGGGGAGAAACAAAAAACAGUAAAAAAUAAAAAUAAAAAUAAAAAACAACCAAAAAACGAGGGGAAACACUGCAAGAGCACAGAGAUUGGCUGAAGAAUAAGCCAAUGGGAAGACAGUACGAGCAGGGAGAGGGGGGCAUGUGAAGUUGAGCUACCUUGUAGGCGAUUCGUGGAGGGCAUUUCUUUCCCAAACCUAAAGGUGGGGACAUGUGGAGCAGCAUCUCAUACAUAUCGAGGUACUUGAUACGGCCACUUCACAGUGCAGACAAGGCAAAAAACCCAAAUAAAGAAAAGGAUGGGGGUUAGAGAGACAGAAAGAGAAACAAGGGGGACAGAAAGUAAACCAAACAAGACGAAAUGAAAAAAAAGACAAAAACAACACGACAAAAAACAGAAAUCUUUUGUUAAUUAGAUUUCCAAAAGUGUCAUGGACAGGGAUGCCAUCCUGGCCUGGCAGGGUCAGAGAUGGAUCCCAAAGGUUAGAGGUCAGAGGUGAGAGAGUUGAUCCCUGAUAAGGAGAGAUGGAAGAGGUGAGUGAGAUGACACGAGGAGUGGAUGGUGACAGAAUGGCUGCAUUGUUUGGAAAGAGAUGGAUCCCAAAGGUUAGAGGUCAGAGGUGAGAGAGUUGAUCCUGAUAAGGAGAGAUGGAAGAGGUGAG
rnacentral:lncRNA from 1 species